UGCCAGCCGCCGCGGUAAUACGGAGGGAGCAAACGUUGUUCGGAUUUACUGGGUGUAAAGGGUGCGUAGGCGGCCCUGUAAGUCAGAGGUGAAAUCCUGCGGCUCAACCGUAGAACUGCCUUUGAAACUACAAACCUUGAGUUUGGAAGAGAGAGAUGGAAUUCCAGGUGUAGUGGUGAAAUACGUAGAUAUCUGGAAGAACACCAGUGGCGAAGGCGAUCUCUUGGUCCAUAACUGACGCUGAGGCGCGAAAGCGUGGGGAGCAAACAGGAUUAGAUA
rnacentral:rRNA from 1 species